UGCCAGCAGCCGCGGUAAGACGAAGGGUGCAAGCGUUGUUCGGAAUCACUGGGCGUAAAGCGCGCGUAGGCGGCCACGUAAGUCUGAUGUGAAAGCCCAAGGCUCAACCUUGGAACGGCAUCGGAAACUGCUUGGCUUGAAUCUCGGAGAGGGUGGUAGAAUUCCUGGUGUAGAGGUGAAAUUCGUAGAUAUCAGGAGGAAUACCGGUGGCGAAGGCGACCACCUGGACGAUGAUUGACGCUGAGGUGCGAAAGCGUGGGUAGCAAACAGGAUUAGAUA
rnacentral:rRNA from 1 species